AACGAACGCUGGCGGCGUGGAUAAGACAUGCAAGUCGAACGCUCAUUUGCCUGCAGCAAUGUGGGUGAGUGGGAGUGGCGCAAGGGUGCGUAACACGUGGGUAAUUUGCCGCGAAGUUGGGGAUAACUCGCUGAAAGGCGAGCUAAUACCGGAUGUGGUAGGCUGGUGGCAUCAUUGGCUUCACCAAAGUUGGGGACCCGCAAGGGCCUGACGCUUCGCGAUAAACCCGCGGCCUAUCAGCUAGUUGGUGAGGUAACGGCUCACCAAGGCUAAGACGGGUAGCUGGUCUGAGAGGACGACCAGCCACACUGGAACUGAGAGACGGUCCAGACACCUACGGGUGGCAGCAGUCGAGAAUUUUUCACAAUGGGCGCAAGCCUGAUGGAGCGACGCCGCGUGGGGGA
rnacentral:rRNA from 1 species